CUAUGAUAUGCAUUCAUCGUCCCCGGGGUGGGGCAUUUUCCACUCUCAGCUUGCCCAAGGGCCGUGCAUUAGUCUCCUACUCCUAGUUGUGUCCCGGCACACUUCUUCUAUUAACUGUGCACUAUCGUAACCAGUCAAAUCAAAUGCCCAGGUGUGUUCCCGAGGGGGGGGGGGGGUGAUGGUUACUCCUGGAAUUGACUAGUGCAUAAUAUUUAUUAAAUUUCAAUAAAUUGACCACAAUACAAAUACAAUAAAAAUACAAUAAAAACUUGUUUUAUUGUUUUAAAACAAGUGGAGCUCUCUGCUGGUUUGAAAUGGGCUGUUAUAACACUGAGUUGUCCAUGAUGAGGAUUCCGUAGCUCGAUUUGCAACAAAAACCCCAGGAUCAGGCGAUCAGCUCGUAUGGGAAUAUGUACACGAUCCAGUCGCGUCGGCCAAAGACAGAAAAAACUUUGAAAAUCGCACAGAUAUAAAUUCUACAAAAAUAUUGAAACAACUCCUAAGUCUUCUAAAUAAUAUUUUAACACUUUAACAAAAAUUCAUUGAAAAUAUAAUCUUUGAUGGCGCAAAUUCUUUCCAAGGUAUUAGACGCCAUUUUAGCGAGCGUCGAGUUGACAAUAGUCGCUUCAAUGGCCAAUAUCUCGAAAACUGCCGGGGGAUCACCGGGAUCAUUCCAGCAGAUUUAAAGCUUAUAUAUUUUUAUUGAUGGCUG